ACGAACGCUGUCGGCUGCUUAACACAUGCAAGUCGAACGGAGUGGCGAACGGGUGAGUAACGCGUGAGCAACCUGCCUAUGACAGUGGGAUAGCCUCGGGAAACCGGGAUUAAUACCGCAUAGUCAUAGAUGGGCCCGCGUCUGAUUAGCUAGUUGGUGAGAUAACAGCCAAACAAGGCCACGAUCAGUAGCCGGUAUGAUAGGAUGAACGGCCACAUUGGAACUGAGAAACGGUCAAAGCGCCAACGGGAGGCAGCAGUGGGGAAGAUUGAACAAUGGGGGAAAACCUGAUACAGCGACGCCGCGGGAACGAAGAAGGUAUACGUAUCGUAAAGUUCUGUCCUAAGGGAAGGAGUACCAUAGAAGAAAGCUCCGGCUAAAUACGUGACAGCAGCCGCGGUAAUAC
rnacentral:rRNA from 1 species